ACCACUUCUACCAGGUCUUAUUUUUAACUACAGGACCUGAACAUGUGACUGACUGAAUGCAGACAGUUUUAAAUAUUACAGGAUCACAGAAGAAUGACGACAAUGGGUAACUGAAAUGAUGCUGAGGUUCCAUCUUAACCCAGAGUGGCUACCAUCAAGAAACAAACAACAUAUCUAAGCCCAAAUGCUUGUUAAGGACACA